rnacentral:rRNA from 1 species
UACGUAGGUGGCAAGCGUUGUUCGGAUUUACUGGGUGUAAAGGGCGUGUAGCCGGGCUGACAAGUCAGAUGUGAAAUCCGGGGGCUCAACCCCCGAACUGCAUUUGAAACUGUUGGUCUUGAGUAUCGGAGAGGCAGGCGGAAUUCCUAGUGUAGCGGUGAAAUGCGUAGAUAUUAGGAGGAACACCAGUGGCGAAGGCGGCCUGCUGGACGACAACUGACGGUGAGGCGCGAAAGCGUGGGGAGCAAACAGG